CGCCUGUUUAUCAAAAACAUCUUUUCUUGUUAGUUUUUGAAGUAUGGCCUGCCCGCUGACUUUGGUGUUGAAGGGCCGCGGUAUGUUGACCGUGCAAAGGUAGCAUAGUCAUUAGUUCUUUAAUUGUGAUCUGGUAUGAAUGGCUUGACGAGGCAUGGGCUGUCUUAAUUUUGAAUUGUUUAUUGAAUUUGGUCUUUGAGUUAAAAUUCUUAGAUGUUUUUAUGGGACGAGAAGACCCUAUAGAGUUUAACAUUUAUUAUGGUCCCUUUCUGUUUGUGAGGGUUCACUGGGCCGUCUAAUAUGUUUUGUUGGGGUGAUGGGAGGGAUUAAUCUAACCCCUCCUUUUUGUUAUUAUAUUUAUUUAUAUUUACUUGAUCCAUUUAUUUUGAUUGUAAGAUUAAAUUACCUUAGGGAUAACAGCGUAA
rnacentral:rRNA from 2 species